AGUGAACGCUGGCGGUAGGCCUAACACAUGCAAGUCGAACGGCAGCACAGUAAGAGCUUGCUCUUACGGGUGGCGAGUGGCGGACGGGUGAGGAAUACAUCGGAAUCUACUUUUUCGUGGGGGAUAACGUAGGGAAACUUACGCUAAUACCGCAUACGACCUACGGGUGAAAGCAGGGGAUCUUCGGACCUUGCGCGAUUGAAUGAGCCGAUGUCGGAUUAGCUAGUUGGCGGGGUAAAGGCCCACCAAGGCGACGAUCCGUAGCUGGUCUGAGAGGAUGGACAGCCCACAAGGAAACGGAGCGCGGGUCCAACUCCUAAGGGAGGCAGAAGGGGGGAAUUUUUGGCAAAGGGGGGCAGCCUGACCCCACCAAUCCGGGGGGGGGAAGAAGGGCUUCGGGUUGUAAAACCCUUUUUGUGGGGAAAAAAAAACGGCAGGUUAACACCCCGCGUUUCGGCGGUACCCAAAAAAAAAGCCACGGCUAAAUUUGGG
rnacentral:rRNA from 1 species